rnacentral:rRNA from 1 species
GACGAACGCUGGCGGCGUGCUUAACACAUGCAAGUCGAACGGAAAGGCCCUGCUUUUGUGGGGUGCUCGAGUGGCGAAAGGGUGAGUAACACGUGAGUAACCUGCCCGUGACUUUGGGAUAACUUCAGGAAACUGGGGCUAAUACCGGAUAGGAGCUCCUGCUGCAUGGCGGGGGUUGGAAAGUUUCGGCGGUUGGGGAUGGACUCGCGGCUUAUCAGCUUGUUGGGGGGGUAGUGGCUUACCAAGGCUUUGACGGGUAGCCGGCCUGAGAGGGUGACCGGCCACAUUGGGAUUGAGAUACGGCCCAGACUCCUACGGGAGGCAGGGGUGGGGAAUAUUGCACAAUGGGCGGAAGCCUGAUGCAGCACCGCCGCGUGCGGGAUGACGGCCUUCGGGUUGUAAUCCGCUUUCGCCUGUGACGAAGCGUGAGUGACGGUAAUGGGUAAAGAAGCACCGGCUAACUACGUG